UUUACUUUUCAUACGAUGAGUUUGCUCUUUCAAGUCAAUUUUAUACCCAAAAUCUGAUUUAUUUCUAUCCUAAGUUCAUAAAAUUACCAAAUUGCCAUUAUUCAAUUGAAGAAUCAAAGACUAAAUAAGACACUUUUGUGUUGUCUGACUUGGCAGCACUAGAAACUUUAAUUGACAAAUGUCUGAUUUCUUUUUUUUAUUCCAUGACUCACCAUGUCAAGAACAUUAUAUAAAUUGCCCAUGAAAACCCCAUUGUUAUGCAAGAUCAAAACUCAACUAAUAUUUCCGAUUAUAUUUCCAAAGUUUAAUUUAUUUCCCCUCUCUAUUUUUCCUUGUGCAAAUUCAAGAAACCAUUGAUAUCUACCCAUUUUCUCUCUCCUCCUAUGACCAUCGCGGCUCCACCGCUGCCACCACCUAUUUCCGAUGACUCUUCCCUUUGCCGCCCAGAACCCAAACCCGGAGUCACCUCCUACUCGUCGCCGGGUCCACUCUAACCACCGUUGCUAUGAGUGUUGUUGUUGUUGUGCGGCUCCUUAUUCUUUUCGUUGCUAUGCUACUGCUUAUUGCUUUAUUGAUCUUUUCCAGAUAAAAGCCUAAGCAUAAAGAGGGGUUGUUAGUAGGCCAUGAUAAUUUUAAUAAGGAGUUAGCAAUUUAUUUUGUGGGCUUUGACUAUGAAUACAAGAAAUCAGGGAAGGCCACGUAAGUGUAAGUGCCCUAAACUCCUAAUCUACUAGUCUUUCCCUUUAUUUUGGUAGAAUGAAUUUUAUUAAUUCCUAUGUUUACUUCGUAUAUUGUUGAGGUUUUGGAGUUUGAUUAAAGGAAUUGAAAGCAAUGGUCAAGGAUUAUGGUAUUUAAGUUGAGCUUCGUACUAAAUUAAGCCUACGGAAUUACGGUUGAGGUUCGAUUAAGGAGCUCAAGUUGCUCAAAUGAGAAUUAUUACUGGAGUUGGUUAUUUAUUAUGGAGAUAUCAAGAUGAGAAAUUAUUUAUUAUGGAAAUCUUGUUAUUAAGGUUGUUAUAAGAAUAUUGAUUUAUAUUUAUUUUUGGGAAUAUUAUUUAUUUAUGGAA